rnacentral:rRNA from 1 species
AUGGAGGGCCGGGCGACGGCAGCCCGGAAGAUGUCAGCCGGGAAUUUGGUGCAGCGGCGGCGGGAGGUGGGAAGCCUCCUCAGGCGGCUCAAUAAGCCUCCUGUCGCAAGCAUUCAGAGCCCGGAUGGAGAUAUCAUGGAUUGUGUGCAUAUCAGCGAACAACCUGCAUUCGACCAUCCUCUCCUCAAGAACCAUACUAUACAGAUGUGUCCUUCUUACAACCCAAAAGGCAUGCAACAUCAUUCCAAUAUCACACCCCAUCUAAUCACCCAAACAUGGCAUCAAAAUGGAAAGUGUCCUAAGGACACCAUACCAAUACGAAGGACCAAGGAGGAGCAUGUCUUGAGGGCCAGUUCAGUUUGGAGGUUUGGCACGAAGAUGCGUAGGAGCAUCCCACUUGUCAAUCCAAUCAAUGACACUAACACACCCAAUAUAUUAAGGGGCCACCAGUAUGCCGCCGCAUCUGCACGGUACGAUAAGUGCUACGGAAGCAAAGGCACCUUCAAUAUGUGGAAACCAGCGAUUGCCAGGGCCAAUGACUUCAGUUUAACACAGCUUUGGAUCACUGCGGGUUCCUACAAUGGCAACAACCUCAAUACCAUUGAAGUAGGAUGGCAGGUUUAUCCAAAUCUAUAUGGUGAUAGCAAUACCAGACUCUUCAUCUACUGGACCCGUGAUGCGUAUCAAACUACAGGAUGUUACAACCUAUUAUGCUCAGGGUUCAUCCAAACAAGAAAUCAAAUCACAAUUGGCGGCAGUAUCUCCCCAACAUCCACCUAUGGUGGCACACAAUAUGACAUCGAUAUUUUAGUUUGGAAGGACCGAGCAGGGGGUAAUUGGUGGCUACAAGUUGGAGGAUAUAAUGUUGGGUAUUGGCCAUCGUACAUCUUCUCUGACUUGGCACAUAGUGCCUCCACUAUUAUGUGGGGCGGCGAGAUAUUUUCACCUGAUGUCGGCCAAACAUCCACACAUAUGGGCAGUGGACACUUUCCAAAUGAAGGGUUCGGUAAGGCGAGUCACAUCAAGAACAUCCAAGUGGUAAAUUCAUCCAACUGUCUCAAUCCCCCACGUGAUGUGGGCUUGAUAACUGAGCAGAACAAUUACUAUAAUGUGCAAAGUGGCAACUAUGGUGACUGGGGAACUUACAUCUACUAUGGUGGGCCUGGGAAUAACCCUAACUGCCCAUGA